rnacentral:rRNA from 1 species
GACGAACGCUGGCGGCGUGCCUAAUACAUGCAAGUAGAACGCACAGUUUAUACCGUAGCUUGCUACACCAUAGACUGUGAGUUGCGAACGGGUGAGUAACGCGUAGGUAACCUGCCUGGUAGCGGGGGAUAACUAUUGGAAACGAUAGCUAAUACCGCAUAAUAUUAAUUAUUGCAUGAUAAUUGAUUGAAAGAUGCAACUGCAUCACUACCAGAUGGACCUGCGUUGUAUUAGCUAGUAGGUGAGGUAACGGCUCACCUAGGCGACGAUACAUAGCCGACCUGAGAGGGUGAUCGGCCACACUGGGACUGAGACACGGCCCAGACUCCUACGGGAGGCAGCAGUAGGGAAUCUUCGGCAAUGGACGAAAGUCUGACCGAGCAACGCCGCGUGAGUGAAGAAGGUUUUCGGAUCGUAAAGCUCUGUUGUAAGAGAAGAACGGGUGUGAGAGUGGAAAGUUCACACUGUGACGGUAUCUUACCAGAAAGGUACGGCUAACUACGUG